GGUGGGCAAAAAUCUCUCGCAAUUGAUGAGUUUUUGAUAUUCAUACAUACAUAAUAAUCAAAUUUACAUAAUUAAGAAUUACAUGAAAAUAGUUCCUGAACUCUUUUUUUCCUCCUGUAUUGCGUUGCAUGCACAGGUGUGGUGCACCGUUCUUGGAAAGCUGUUAGUGAAAUAAAUUACUAAAUGAAUUUUAUUUCUGAACUAGAUUGUGGAUAGUUAUUGUGGUCUUUGUGUUGAGGAUUCUUUCAGGUGGUAUGUG
rnacentral:misc_RNA from 1 species